AAGUUCCAUAAGCUAUUCUGCUCAUGUGAUAUCCGAAAGAAUAAAGUCAGUAGCUAGAUCACCAGGAAAACAGAGUAAUAUAUUCUCCAUGACAUAUCAAAUCUAAAAAAUUCCAGUGGACAAGAACCUACCUAGCAAACAUUGAGCAAUUUGAUUUGCAAAAAAUAACUGCUCCAAAUACAUUAGCAAUUUUUACAGAAUUACGUCAUUUUAACUGUAUGAUGAACAUCAUACUAUCCUCUUUCACAAACUGAGUCCAAUGAGCAAAACUACUUGACAACUUCAUUACACAAUAAAUCCUAGAAAGAAAAUCCUUUGCUUAUAUGUCAGGAAUGCAGUUUGCCAGCAUCCUAGGUAACUGCAAGACGAUGGCCUCCAUUCAUGACAUCUUGACGUUCCAUGCUAUAUUAGAUAGAUUUUGCACAUAUGAUUCAACAAUAAAGUAUUCAAGAUUUCCUUUUGUUCUUGCUCAUCCAUCAAUGAAUGAAAAUCAUAAGUGUUUGCCAAUAACAACACAUGAACCUCUAAUAUACAUUUGUGAUUGACAUUGAAUUGCCAUUUAGCAGAUUCAAAAUAUAAAAUUUACAUUUUUAACAGUACAAAUAGUCAAGUAAAAAAACAAUUGCACAUAAAUCUUAAAUAAUGUUAACAACCAGCUAUGAGAUAUGUACAAUUCCAUUUAAACAAAAUUUACAUCCCUAAUGCUUAGAAAAGACAUACAACAAAAG
rnacentral:misc_RNA from 1 species